rnacentral:misc_RNA from 1 species
AUAAGGCUGCCGCUCAUUUGAAGGUUCCCCUGAAAUCCCUAUUAAUUCACGACUUUUUAUCAUCGUCAUUUGCUAGUCAUCUUGUGUCGUGUUUAACAAGUGGGUGCCGUUUCGUCGGCUUUAUAAGUUUUACUUUAAGUCGUCGUCUUAACCCAAAUAUAUUUGUAGAAUUAUUUUGAGUGGGGGAAAAAAGCAUUAUGGAACUUGCAUAAAAGAAAAUAUUCUGUUCGCUUCCGUCUUAAAUCAUAAACUCUUGUCAAUUAUAAUUAGUGUGUUCUUCUUUUGCGGUCACAUAGAGAGUUAGCAUAGGACUAGCAACUUUUCAUCUUCUGUUAAUGGCUUGCAGCUGUAUUUGCAUAAGUCUAAGUAAUGCUUGAUGCGUACUGUGCAUAUCAUUUAGUUGUCUUAUUUGAGUGAAUUGGUUUUUUUGAUAGGGUGGUGCUAAGAAAGUCAUCA